GUGUCAGACGCCGGAUUCAGGUCACCCGCAAGGACUCCAGGGAAUCCGGGAACCGGCAGGUGAAGAAGGCCUUGGUGUGAGGCACCUGUCCUGAGGUCGCAGACCCGCAGAGGCCCAGGCCAAGCCAGGAGUCAAGCUGCUCAACAAGUCAUGCCUCGUCGUCCCACGAAGCGACGGCGCUACAUGCCUGAGGAAGGUCUUCCGACCCUAACAGAGACCCAGGGCCUCGUGGGUGCACAGGACCCUGGGGCGACAGAGGAGGUUGCUUCCUCCUCCUCCUCCAGGUCCUCCGCCUCCGCCACGUCCUCCUCCUCCCCCUCCUCUUCUUCUUGCUUUGCUCAUAUCUCAAGCGGUGAGGAAGAGGUUUCUAUGGUUUCACCCACCCCGAGUCCCCUCCAGGGCCCUGAGCGUGC